rnacentral:rRNA from 1 species
GGAGUUAGCCGGUGCUUCUUCUGUGAGUGAUGUCCUUCCUGCCGGUUAUUGACCCGCAGGCCUUCUUCCUCACUGAAAGUGCUUUACAACCCGAAGGCCUUCUUCACACACGCGGCAUGGCUGGAUCAGGGUUGCCCCCAUUGUCCAAUAUUCCCCACUGCUGCCUCCCGUAGGAGUCUGGGCCGUGUCUCAGUCCCAGUGUGGCUGAUCAUCCUCUCAGACCAGCUACGGAUCGUCGCCUUGGUGAGCCGUUACCUCACCAACCAGCUAAUCCGACAUAGGCUCAUCCGAUAGCGCGAGGCCCGAAGGUCCCCCGCUUUCCCCCGUAGGGCGUAUGCGGUAUUAGCCUGGGUUUCCCCAGGUUAUCCCCCGACUACCGGGCAGAUUCCUAUGCAUUACUCACCCGUCCGCCGCUCGCCACCAGGGAGCAAGCUCCCCGGUGCUGCCGCUCGACUUGCAUGUGUUAGGCCUGCCGCCAGCGUUCAAUCUGAGCCAGAAUCAAACUCUGA